AACGAACGCUGGCGGCAGGCUUAACACAUGCAAGUCGAGCGCCCCGCAAGGGGAGCGGCAGACGGGUGAGUAACACGUGGGAACGUACCCUUUUCUACGGAAUAACCCAGGGAAACUUGGACUCAUACCGUAUAAGCUCUUCGGGGGAAAGAUUUAUCGGAGAAGGAUCGGCCCGCGUUGGAUCAGCUAGUUGGUGGGGUAAAGGCCUACCAAGGCGACGAUCCAUAGCUGGUCUGAGAGGAUGAUCAGCCACACUGGGACUGAGACACGGCCCAGACUCCUACGGGAGGCAGCAGUGGGGAAUAUUGGACAAUGGGCGCAAGCCUGAUCCAGCCAUGCCGCGUGAGUGAUGAAGGCCCUAGGGUUGUAAAGCUCUUUCACCGGUGAAGAUAAUGACGGUAACCGGAGAAGAAGCCCCGGCUAACUUCGUGCCAGCCGCCGCGGUAACAC
rnacentral:rRNA from 1 species